GGAAGGAUCAUUAUUGAAAUAAACCUGAUGGGUUGUUGCUGGCUCUCUAGAGAGCAUGUGCACGCCUUGUCAUCUUUAAAUCUCCACCUGUGCACCUUUUGUAGACCUUUUCAGGUCUAUGUUGUCUCAUUUACCCCAAUGUAUGUUAAUAGAAUGUUGUGACUAUAUAAUAUAUACAACUUUCAGCAACGGAUCUCUUGGCUCUCGCAUCGAUGAAGAACGCAGCGAAAUGCGAUAAGUAAUGUGAAUUGCAGAAUUCAGUGAAUCAUCGAAUCUUUGAACGCACCUUGCGCUCCUUGGUAUUCCGAGGAGCAUGCCUGUUUGAGUGUCAUUAAUAUAUAUAUCAACCAUUCUCUUGUUGAAUGGUUUGGAUGUGGGGGCUUGCUGGCCUCUUAAAAAGGAUUCAGCUCUCCUGAAAUGCAUUAGCAGAACAAACCUGUUCAUUGGUGUGAUAACUAUCUACGCUAUUGAAUGUGAGGUGGCAGUUCAGCUUUCUAACAGUCCCUCGGGACAACUCAUCAUUAAUGUGACCUCAAAUCAGGUAGGACUACCCGCUGAACUUAAGCAUAUCAAUAAGCGGAGGAA
rnacentral:sRNA from 1 species